GACGAACGCUGGCGGCGUGCUUAACACAUGCAAGUCGAGCGGUAAGGCCCUUUCGGGGGUACACGAGCGGCGAACGGGUGAGUAACACGUGGGUGACCUGCCCUUAGCUCUGGGAUAAGCCUGGGAAACUGGGUCUAAUACCGGAUAUGACUCCAUGACGCAUGUUGUGGGGUGGAAAGCCUUGUGCGGCUAGGGAUGGGCCCGCGGCCUAUCAGCUUGUUGGUGGGGUGAUGGCCUACCAAGGCGACGACGGGUAGCCGGCCUGAGAGGGCGACCGGCCACACUGGGACUGAGACACGGCCCAGACUCCUACGGGAGGCAGCAGUGGGGAAUCUUGCGCAAUGGGCGAAGGCCUGACGCAGCGACGCCGCGUGAGGGAUGACGGCCUCGGUU
rnacentral:rRNA from 1 species